UGUGUGAUGGCAGAUUAAUGCCCUGGAAUUAAGCCCCAGUUAUGAGAUACUAUCUCUCACACAU
rnacentral:tRNA from 1 species